CCGGCACGGGUGAGUAACACGUAUGCAAUCCACCUGUAACAGGGGGAUAACCCGGAGAAAUCCGGACUAAUACCCCAUAAUAUGGGCGCUCCGCAUGGAGAGCCCAUUAAAGAGAGCAAUUUUGGUUACAGACGAGCAUGCGCUCCAUUAGCCAGUUGGCGGGGUAACGGCCCACCAAGGCGACGAUGGAUAGGGGUUCUGAGAGGAAGGUUCCCCACAUUGGAACUGAGACACGGUCCAA
rnacentral:rRNA from 1 species